rnacentral:rRNA from 1 species
AACGAACGCUGGCGGCAUGCCUAAUACAUGCAAGUCGAACGAGAUCUUCGGAUCUAGUGGCGCACGGGUGCGUAACGCGUGGGAAUCUACCCUUGGGUUCGGAAUAACAGUUAGAAAUGACUGCUAAUACCGGACGAUGACGUAAGUCCAAAGAUUUAUCGCCCAGGGAUGAGCCCGCGUAGGAUUAGCUAGUUGGUGAG